CAUCACUACGCUAGAUGCAUAUCAAUAAGCGGAGGAAAAGAAACUAACUAGGAUUCCCUCAGUAACGGCGAGUGAAGCGGGAAGAGCUCAAAUUUGAAAUCUUCAAGGUUCUACCUUGACGAAUUGUAGUUUAAAGAAGUGUUUUCUGUUGGAGUUUUGGUAAAAGUUCUUUGGAAUAGGACAUCAUAGGGGGUGAGAAUCCCGUAUUUGACCAUUAUUUCCAACUUUGUGAUACACUUUCAAAGAGUCGGAUUGUUUGGGAAUGCAGUCCAAAAUGGGUGGUAAAUUUCAUCUAAAGCUAAAUACUGGCGAGAGACCGAUAGCGAACAAGUACCGUGAGGGAAAGAUGAAAAGAACUUUGAAAAGAGAGUUAAACAGUACGUGAAAUUGUCAAAAGGGAAGCGUUUGACAUCAGUGUUGUUUUCUCGAAGAUCAAUUAAAAAAGGCCGGAUUUUGUGUUGUAUUGACCUUAAAAGCUUUCUUCACUCUUUUCUUGUCUUUUUUAAUGCACUUUUCGUUUAACAAGUCAACAUCAGUUUCUUUUGUUGUAAAAAGGUCAUUGGAAGGUGGCCUUCUUUUCGGAGAAAGUGUUUAUAGCCUUUGAUCCCUGCAAUCGGAGAGACUGAGGUCUGCAGCGUAGAUCCUUCGGGGUUAGAUACAUUUGUGCUAAGUUAUAGCUUUUUAUAGACAACUUGUUGACUAUAUUUAGUCUUGUAGCUUACUCGCUUAUGCUAUUUUACCUACGCUUAGGAUGUUGACGAGACUGUCGAUCUC
rnacentral:rRNA from 1 species